rnacentral:rRNA from 1 species
CCUACGGGGGGCAGCAGUGGGGAAUAUUGCACAAUGGGGGAAACCCUGAUGCAGCGACGCCGCGUGAGUGAAGAAGUAUCUCGGUACGUAAAGCUCUAUCAGCCAGGAAGCAAAUGACGGUACCUGACUAAGAAGCCCCGGCUAACUACGUGCCAGCAGCCGCGGUAAUACGGAGGGGGCAAGCGUUAUCCGGAUUUACUGGGUGUAAAGGGAGCGUAGACGGCAGGACAAGUCUGGAGUGAAAUCCCGGGGCUUAACCCCGGAACCGCUUUGGAAACUGUGCGGCUGGAGUGCAGGAGGGGUAAGCGGAAUGCCUAGUGUAGCGGUGAAAUGCGUAGAUAUUAGGAGGAACACCGGUGGCGAAGGCGGCUUACUGGACUGUAACUGACGUUGAGGCUCGAAAGCGUGGGGAGCAAACAGGAUUAGAUACCCUAGUAGUC